GAAAUACCCGCUUCCACUCUAAUUUGCACGUUCAGCUUCAUCCGAGUAUCUCUCAACUCUGUUAACUGACUCCAGACUUCUCGAAAAUUUGAAUUCUUCCAAAUUCUUUCAUUCCUCAUAUUUUUCUCUUUAAUUCUGGGAUUUGUAAACGGCAUCAAGCUCGCAAAUUCUUGCGUUCUCAUUGGUAUUAGAUAAACCCUAAAAUUUCAGUGAUAUGUCCCAUCAAAUUCUUGGGUCCUCGAUUGAUAAUUGAUAAACCCUACAAUCUCUCACACGGCUAGGUUAUCAUCCUCCGGCGUUUACACGGCUCCGGCGCUCCGGUUCGGUAUUGCCAGCGUUUACAGGUGAACCGCAAUCUGUUAUCAUUAUUAUUCUGGGGAAAGCUUAUAGCUGAAUUGGUUAAUUGCUCUGAAAAGUUUGAAACUUUAUAAAUGCAAUUUGAUGAAUACCAUAUAUAUUGAUAUAUGCAGGUUUUUUUUCGCUUAUUAUUGCAAAAUCUCAUCUGAGUUCGUUGAGUUGUUUAUGUUAGACGUUGAAAAUUGGUUAGUUUACAUCUUUGUGUUGUUUAAUCGUUUAAAUCUAUGUUAUUGUGCAAAUUAAUUUGUUGAGAUAGUAUGCAAAGUUGCCGGAGAUUUAGAUAUCCUUGAGGUAGUUGAAUUUUCCAAAACAUAAUUGGGAGGUGGGUUGAAAUUUUGGCUCCAAUUUUUUGCGGGUAACUGGUAUUAAAUUAUGAGGUCUUCAAGAUAUCAACUAAUUUGCUGGGUUAUUAGGGGCGUAGAAUGAAGGGUUGUUGUGAUGGGAACCAAGUUGUAGCCUAUGCUUGCAACUCUUAGAUGUUUCUUCUUAGCACUAGUAUCAAUAUUCUCAGCAGACUGAUCCUCUCCCAGAACUGAAUCCACUUGAUGUUCACUCAUAUCAUCAAUAUCAUCCUGAUUCACCUCAUCAUCAACCAACCCACCAUGAAAAUUCAGCAUUGACAGUUCGAUAUCGAAUGCCGCAACUGAUGAGACUAUGCCCAGCAGGCAAACCAAGGACUCAUUUCAUGUCAUUUUGGCAGCUCAACAUCCAAGUUAUGCAUCAUUGCAAGUAUCGGGAUCACUUAUGUAUGUUAUUAGUAUAUUUUAUUUUUGGGUUUUGGGUUUGUGAGAAACAAGUGUAUGGUAGAAGAAGAGUGUGAAUGAGUUAUAUCAUACUGUACUAGGAUAAAUCUAGUUUAAAAACUUCAAUAGAUCACAAGUUAUUAGGAGGGAAAUAUACAUUAUAUAUUUUUAUAUACUUAUUAUUAAACUUGCCUAUUACUUGGUUCUUAUAUCAUAUUUAAGUAUUAAUUAUGUAUAGAUAUGGAUACACGUUGGAUCGAA